rnacentral:rRNA from 1 species
AUUGAACGCUGGCGGCAGGCCUAACACAUGCAAGUCGAGCGAGCGGCGGACGGGUGAGUAAUGUAUGGGGACUGCCCGAUAGAGGGGGAUAACUACUGGAAACGGUAGCUAAUACCGCGUCCUAUCGGAUUACCCAAAUGGGAUUAGCUAGUUGGUGAGGUAAUGGCUCACCAAGGCGACGAUCCCUAGCUGGUCUGAGAGGAUGAUCAGCCACACUGGGACUGAGACACGGUCCAGACUCCUACGGAGGCAGCAGUGGGGAAUAUUGCACAAUGGGCGCAAGCCUGAGACAGCCAUGCCGCGUGUAUGAAGAAGGCCGUAGGGUUGUAAAGUACUUUCAGUAGGGAGGCGUUACCUACAGAAGAAGCACCGGCUAACUCCGUGCCAGCAGCCGCGGUAAUAC